GACGUAGGGGGCGAGCGUUGUCCGGAUUUAUUGGGCGUAAAGGGCGCGUAGGCGGGAUGGCAAGUCGGUCGUGAAAUCCUUCGGCUCAACCGAAGAACGUCGAUCGAUACUGCUGUUCUUGAGGAUUGCAGAGGAGACUGGAAUUCCCGGUGUAGCGGUGAAAUGUGUAGAGAUCGGGAGGAACACCGGUGGCGAAGGCGGGUCUCUGGGCAAUUCCUGACGCUGAGGCGCGAAAGCGUGGGGAGCAAACGGG
rnacentral:rRNA from 1 species